UAUCUCUGUAGAGUCUGCAUAUCAAUAAGCGGAGGAAAAGAAACUAACUAGGAUUCCCUUAGUAACGGCGAGUGAAGCGGGAAGAGCUCAAAUUUGAAAUCUUCAAGGUUUUACCUUGACGAAUUGUAGUUUAAAGAAGUGUUUUCUGUUGGAGUUUUGGUAAAAGUUCUUUGGAAUAGGACAUCAUAGAGGGUGAGAAUCCCGUAUUUGACCAUUAUUUCCAGCUUUGUGAUACACUUUCAAAGAGUCGGAUUGUUUGGGAAUGCAGUCCAAAAUGGGUGGUAAAUUUCAUCUAAAGCUAAAUAUUGGCGAGAGACCGAUAGCGAACAAGUACCGUGAGGGAAAGAUGAAAAGAACUUUGAAAAGAGAGUUAAACAGUACGUGAAAUUGUCAAAAGGGAAGCGUUUGACACCAGUGUUGUUUUCUCGAAGAUCAAUUAAAAAAGGCAGGAUUUUGUGUUGUAUUGACUUUAUCAGCUUUCUGCACUCUUUUCUUGUCUUUUUUAAUGCACUUUUCGUUUAACAAGUCAACAUCAAUUUCUUUUGUUGUAAAAGGGUCAUUGGAAGGUGGCUUUCUUUUCGGAGAAAGUGUUUAUAGCCUUUGGCCUCUGCAAUCGGGGAGAUUGAGGUCUGCAGCGUAGAUCCUUCGGGGUUAGAUACAUUUGUGCUAAGUUAUAGCCUUUCAUAGACAACUUGUUGACUAUGAUCAGUCAUGUAGCUUACUCGCUUAUGCUAUUUUACCUACGCUUAGGAUGUUGAAGAUGUAGCACAUCAU
rnacentral:rRNA from 1 species